GCAGCCGCGGUAAUACGGAGGAUGCGAGCGUUAUCCGGAUUUAUUGGGUUUAAAGGGUGCGUAGGUGGUCUUUUAAGUCAGCGGUGAAAGUUUGUGGCUUAACCAUAAAAUUGCCAUUGAUACUGGGAGACUUGAGUGUGUUUGAGGUAGGCGGAAUGCGUAGUGUAGCGGUGAAAUGCAUAGAUAUUACGCAGAACUCCGAUUGCGAAGGCAGCUUACUAAACCAUAACUGACACUGAAGCACGAAAGCGUGGGUAUCGAACAGGAUUAGAUACCCC
rnacentral:rRNA from 1 species